AGAGUUUGAUCAUGGCUCAGAACAAACGCUGGCGGCGUGUCUUAAGCAUGCAAGUCGAGCGGUAGGCGUAGCAAUACGCUGAGAGCGGCGGACUGGUGAGUAACGCGUGGAUGAUCUACCGUUAGGGCAUGGGGAUAGCCACUAGAAAUAGUGGGUAAUACCGAAUACGUUUGCACAGGUGAAGCUGUGUAAAGAAAGGAUCCUACGGGGUCGGCCUAACGAUGAGUCUGCGUCCCAUUAGCUAGUUGGUGAGGUAAAGGCCCACCAAGGCGAUGAUGGGUAGCCGGCCUGAGAGGGUGUACGGCCACACUGGGACUGAGAUACGGCCCAGACUCCUACGGGAGGCAGCAGCUAAGAAUAUUCCGCAAUGGACGAAAGUCUGACGGAGCGACGCCGCGUGGAUGAAGAAGGCCGCAAGGUUGUAAAAUCCUUUUGCUGGGGAAGAAUAAGUCCAGGAGGGAAUGCCUGGAUGAUGACAUGAACCGGCGAAUAAGCCCCGGCCAACUACGUGCCAGCAGCCGCGGUAACACGUAGGGGGCAAGCGUUGUUCGGAAUUACUGGGCGUAAAGGGCAUGUAGGCGGUUUAGUAAGCUUGGCGUG
rnacentral:rRNA from 1 species